rnacentral:lncRNA from 1 species
UAUGGCAUGACCACUCUCAUGCAUGCGGCUUAUAAGGGCAAAGCAGACCUGUGCAGACUGUAGCUGCAGCACGGAGCUGAUGUCAACUGUAAUGAGCAUGAGUAUGGUUAUACUGGGCUCAUGUUCACUGGCCUCUCAGCUUUCUCGGUUCUGACCCCGGCAUUGACGGGCCAGAUGGUGCCUAUGGACAUAGUACUGUGCUACAUGUGGAGAGAGGGGUGCUGACAAGAAGUGCUCCUUCUGUAAAAUGGUAUAAUGUGCUUCCUCUUUCCUUAAAUAAUCAUGACUUGCCGUCAACAUUUAUUCAGUUAAUAUUGACAUUUUUUAUCAUUUUGAAGCCAAACUUAUAUUUUUCUACAGUUAAUCACGCAUACUGACCAUCUACAAAGUAUACUAAUGAUUUUAAGUUGCUAUUUAGUAUUUGGUUUCUCUUCAGGCACGUAACUUUCCACAUCCUGUACCUACAGCAUUUGAAUUAAGAAGCCCAGAUCAUUGACAAUUUGGCUAAACCAACCUAAUCCAAUUUUUCUUUUGAUGUUAGAAAUGCAAUACAAUUAAAAUUAAAAGAUAUCUGUAGCUUCAAAAGUGAAUUUAAAAUGCACUGGUGAGUUACAUUAUAUGAGAUCAUGAUUUUAUAUUGUGAAGUAAGACCUUUUCUCAUUAUAUUGGAGUUUUACAUGUUGCUGAAACACUGUUUUCCCAUAAUGCUCUCCUCUCUUUCCAGGUGGUCUACUGUGGGAAGACGUUACAGAGGCUGCACUGGUUCACCCAUAAGAGGCAGUGCAAAAACCCCUGUGCCACAGAGAGAUGCUCAACUCAACCGCCAACCCAAACAGAGGGAACUCUCUAGCAAUGCUGAUGACAGUGAUGUAGUGAACGCCGCCGGCUCCAUGCUGGCUCUUUGUCUGGGGUUGUCAAGAGUGUGCACUUCAGCACAGUCCUUCUGAUGACUACUGUGAAACCUCCGAGGACUGUGAAGAUCCUCCUCAUGCUGGAAAGGAUUGAGAAACAGAAAUGUUUUGGUUGUUUUUUUUCUUUGUACAGUUGAAUUCCCCUGGGAAUACAGUUCAGCCUCAGCGUGCUGUGCUGUGAUUGGUGCUCUGCAUUUUAUAGGAAACUGUAAACCAUGAUACAGAAGUGUUGGAUUGUAUACUUAUUCUAAGCUGUGUAAGAACCACACAGAAAACUGGAUAUGUAGAGAACAUGACAAACUUCUGACCAGUGGACAUCCUAUUUUGACUGUGGGCAACUGUUGACAUAGAGAAAAACUUUGAGAUUUUUUCUCUUCCACUUAAAAGGAAUCAUUUACCCCAAAAAUUCUAAUUUCCUGAAAAUGUACUCACUCUCAGGCCAUCUGUGAUGUAGAUUUUUUUUCUUCAUGUGGACCAAUUUAAAGAAAUGUAGCAUUACAUCAAUUGCUCACCAGUGGAUCAUCUACAGUGAAUGGGUGCCGUCCCAAAAGAGUCCAAAGAGCUAAAGGCAGAAUUUCAUAUUUUUGCCUGGGGGGAGGUACGUGCUGGCAGACCACAUUUACAUACCAUAUAUACCAUUUUCUCCACUCUUUUAGGUUAUGGGUUUAUUAAAAAAACAACGAACAUCCAUUUUGUCCAUUUUGCAUUUCUCUGCAGACUAAAGCGGGAACACAACGAGAAGAGAGUCCACUCACGCAAUACUCUGAGAUUUGCAAAGUCACGAGAGAAUAGAUCUUAUGUUUAAAAACAUCGGUUAAAAAUAAUUUAGCCCAAACGUACUCAUUCUGCUCACUAAAAUAAAGUAAUAAACGAAUAAAAUGUUUACUCAUAUUUUUUAAUUCACUGAAUACUGAAAUUUCUUUUUUAUUUGUAUCUUUCAUUCAGCUGGCUCUGGUCAAAAAAAAUCACAAAAUAGCUGAUGAAACAAUCCACAAAUAAUCCACAACUCCAGUCCAUCAAUUCAAUCCAUUUUGUGAAGUGAGAAGAUAUGUUUGUAAGAACUCCAAUGACUGUUUCAGUGAAAAAGUCAUCUCAUCUGAAUCAGGAGAGACAUAAGUAAUGAUCAAGCACCGUUUUCAAGGGAAAACUAAACUAAAAUAGUACUAAACAAAUACAUUGGUGGAUUUUUAUGUGAAAGGACAAAAGGGGAUGAACUUUUUUUCUAUAAUCCAUUACUAUGGAUUAUAGACUGUUAAAAUAUCAUAAUGAUAGAUUUGUUUCUUACAAACACAAAGCCUUUUGCUUCACAGGUCAUUUACUGAUGGACUGGAAUCAUGCAGAGUACUUGUGAUGUUUUUAUCAGCAGUUUGAAAUCUCAUUCCAACGGCACCCAUUCACUGCAGAGGAUCCACUGAUGAGCAAAUUAUGUAGUGCUAAAUUUAUCCAGAUCUGUUUCAAUGAAGAACGAAUUUCAUCUACAUCUUGGAUGACCAGAAGCUGAGUAAAUAUUCAGCAAAUUUUCAUUUUGGGGUAAACCAUUCCUUUAAGUGUUUUUGAGAUUUUCACCCCCUAUUUUUGCUUGUUUCAUAACAUCAGAUUUUUAAAUUCUGCUUCCUAUUUCCAAUAUAAUUUGCUUUUCAAGUAGAUCCUCUAAAAUAGCUCAUACCGAAGGCUCAUUUUUAUCUAAACUGAUCAAAUAAAGAAAUAUAGCCUUGUAAUGCAUAUAUUUUAAUUCAAUAGUUUUCCACUAGAGGGCAGCGUCCAUCCUCUGAAGGUCAAGUGUGAGCUCAAUAUUAUCAUCCGCAGGCUGUAAACUAUUUACUUCUUAGAAUGUAUUACAAACAUACUUCAUUUAGUAGAAUCACUGUGUUUAUAACAACAUAAACAUCUUCCAGGUAAAAAAAAUAAAUAAAUAAAUAAAAAGAUUUCAAUAAUGAUCAACUAAUGAAACAAAAAUAAAACAUUUUUUUAAUAAAUUUGCAUCAUAAUCAUAAUCAGAAUAUACUAUUAACAUAUUCUCAAAAUAUGUUAGAAAAAUGUCCAGUUUAAUCUGCAGUGUCGUAACUGCAGUACACGAUGAGUUUUGAGAGAGCAGGGAUCUCCUCCGUGGACUUUCCCACACUUGGUCCUGUUGCACACAUCCUAAGGCACUCGCUCAGAAUUCUAUAGACGGCUCUGUCUGUUCCUUAACGCUUUGUUCCCAGUCUCCACAUCCCCUCAUCUCAGGGGACUAUCUCACCCUGUAGGCCAAACGAGGGUCUAUUUAACACACAGUUGUCACGUCGCAUGUCAGUAUACCCAUAACUCAGUGCCGUAACCUCUCUGUUUGCCCUGAGAUUCAUCCCUGUCCUGUCUCCAUCUAUGAGCAUGUCACGGUCAUUACAGGUGCAUGAAAGAACUAUCUCAAAUAUCCGGUUUUUGAGAUGCAGAAAUUAGCGAAUGCCGCAUCGUAUCGCAUGACUUUGAUAUUCCUCUUUCAAGCCCUGAGGUUGCAUAUUCAGUGAUCCCAAUACCCCCCCCCCCCGCCCCCCUUACCAAUAUGACUAACAGUGCUUUUUAGGUAAUAAGAGAUCAUUUUGACAGCAGUGGCUUUUGAAAUAUAGGGCCUAUAUAUUUUUUCUUAAAAAAAAAAAAAAAAAAAAAAAAAAGCACAAUAUUAAAGUGUUUUUUCGUCCGAAUCAAAGAAGUGUAGCUGGGGGCCAAGCGGAAUGAAUUUAUCGUAAAUGCCUGAAGAGAGAGUGAAACUAGACACUUUUUGAGGGACACGUUUUCGGUGGAAGAAAGCGAGCAUUGGGCUUUUGUGUUUCCUCCAUGUCGUUUGUGUUAUGCACAUUCAUUUGGUGAGCUCAUCGGAGGCACCUGUUUGGAUAAUUUUGGGGUAAAAUAAUUCAGGGCUAUCCUGUUUCAUGGGUUUUGUCAUGCAUGCCGUACUUUACAGCCCUCACUAGAGGUCAAUGCACCAGGUUCACAUGUAGAGGAUCUAAAUACGCUUGAAAACUUGUUUACAUCUGAGAGCGCAACAUCCUCAGCACAGCGUCUCUCUGAUUGAGAGUGUUGCACUGCAGUGUUCGCUUACAUGUAUCAACUGAGCUACGCAAUAGAUGUUUUCUACUUUUCUAAAACCAGCACUACAAUAACAAUACAAUAUGAGUUGUGAUAUAUAUAUAUAUAUAUAUAUAUAUAUAUAUAUAUAUAUAUAUAUAUAUAUAUGUGUGUGUGUGUGUGUGUGUGUGUGUGUGUGUGUGUGUGUGUGUGUGUGUGUGUGUGUGUGUGUGAUAUGAAGUCUAUGUAAUAAUAAUAAUAAUAACAAUAAUAGUAACUACUGUCAUUAUUAUUUUUACUUCAUAUAAAAUGUAAUAUGAUUAUGUUAGAAUGAAAGUAAGAUUUAAAAGUCCAUCAGACUGAACAGAAUCAGAGUAAAUUAAAAAAAUAAAAAACUUAUUUUUCACAGAAAGGGCGUUUUGGUAUCUGCUGUUUCUUCUUUUAGUGUUGCUGUUUUAGACCAAAUGUAUUUUUAUAACGUAUUUUUAUUGUAUUUUGUAAUCAUAAAUAUAACAGUUAAUCAACAUAAUCGUCUGGAUACAAUAUUUCUAAUGGUUUUUUUGUUUGUUUGUUUGUUUGUUU